GCCAGAAUAAGAUUAAUAUUUAUUUCAACUACUAAUCCAAUUUCAAUAGCCAAAGUAUCUACCACAUCACAAACAAGACAACUCUACAAAAUUAAGCAAGUUGUUGAACAUUUGAAUCCAUUCUAUCAUGAUCUGUACAAGGAUAAGCUGUUGAGUGAACUUUAUCAUCAUCUUCUCUAACAGCAAUUUGGAAAGAAGAAAUAAAAACCUGUCAGCCCUAUGUCCCUUGGUGAAGAUAUCUGCGACCUGUUCCGUAGUAGAAGUAUGAUGAAUAAUUAUAUCCUCAUUUAGCACCUUUUCACGAAAAAAUUGGUAGUCCACUUCAAUAUAUUUAGUUCUAGCAUGAAAAAUAGGAUUCUUAGCUAGUGCAAGAGCACUUUCAUUAUCAUACUAGACAACGGGAGAAGAGAAAAGUGUAACAUCCAAAUCACGAAGAACCUUACGUCACCAAAAAAGUUCAGCAGUAACAAUAGCAAGAGAUGUGUACUCGACUUCAGUAUUAGAUUUGGAAACCAUGGGCUAUUUCUUGGCAGACCAAGAAAUAAGAUUAGAACCAAGAAACACUCCAAAAUCACUACAAGAUUGAUGAUAAGUUACAGUAGGCUGAUAAGUUAUUCUUGCCAGGAUGAUAAAUAAGAUCAUGAGAUGGAGUGUUAUUUAGAUAACGUAGAGCAUGCUUAGUGGCAGUCCAAUGAGACGAAGUUGGUGCAUGCAUAUAUUGACACAAUUAGUCAAUCUCAAGACUAGUCAAAAUGACAUAUUAAAGUGCACCCACCGUUUGGUGAUAUUCAAUUUGAUCAAGUAACAAAUCACCGUCAUGUUUUGAGAUUUUAGAACCAAAGACACAGGGAGCAAUAUCCGGCUUCACACCGGCCAUCUUAGUCCGUUUUAACAGAUUCAUAAUAUAUUUAGUUUAGUAGAGAUGAAGGUCAUCAGUGAUCCAAAUUUCUUCAAUGCCAAGAAAAUAAGAAAGGACACCAAGUUCCUUCACAUCAAAAUCAAUCUUCAUCCUGUCAGUGAUCUCAGAAAUGGAGGUAGAACUGCUACCGAUAAGAAUAAUGUCGUCAACCUAGACUAGCACAAAAAUCUAAGUUCCACAGGAGUGGAACAUAAAUAAAGAUGGACCCGAGUCAGAAUAACGAAAUCCAAUACCAAUCAAAGCACUAGAAAGACAGUGAAACUAAGCUCGAGGGGCUUGUUUCAACCCAUAGAUUGACUUGUGCAAACAGCAUGCCCAAUUAGGAUGACAGAAUCUUCAAAUCCUUUUGGCUACUCCAUACAAACCUCUUCAGUCAAAAAACCAUGUAAAAAUGCAUUUGAUGCAUCAAGUUGCCUGACAUGCCAAUAGAAAGAAACUGCGAGUGCAAGCGCCGAACGCAAGUAGAAGAUUUGACAAUAGGACUAGAUGUUUCAUGAUAGUCAAUACACUAAUUUGAUAUGAACCUUUAGCAACAAGUUUUGUCUUAAAGCUUUCAAUAGAACCAUCUGGCUUCUACUUGAUCUUAAAUACCCACUUAUUGCAUACAAAAUCAAGAUUAUCGGGCCGAGGGCAUAUUCCAUGUUUUAUUCUCAACCAAGGCAAGAAAUUUCCAUAGCAUGAUGAUAAUACGUGCAGGGGGAAUGGAAGGUGAGGGUUGAGGUGCAGAAGUCAUAAGAGAAGGAGAUAGAUCCAAGAGAGGAGAGAUGGGGACAUGAAGGGAAGAAAUGGUUGUGGUGAGAGAUGGAACAAGAGUAUUAGACGUGGUUGUGGACAUAGGAAAACUAAUGGUUGUGUGAAGGGAAGUGAUACUAGAAGAUACAAGAGGAUGAGAAGAUGACAUACCUGGUAAGAACUUAGCUGAAGGCAAGUGUGGAGAAGCCAAAUGUGAGAAAUUUUGAUGCAAGUGGCAAAGUGAGAACAUACUGGAUUUUAGUAGGAAAUUGAAUUUCAUCAAAGACUACAAUUCUGAGAAAUAAAAAUUUUCCUAGUACUAGAAUCAUACGAUCUAUAACUCUUUUGGUAUGAGAAAUAUCCCACAAAAUGCGUGGUUUACUCUCAACUAAGAGCUUAUUAGGCAUGUUAGCAUGAAGCAAUUGGAAGCAUUUACGCCCAAAAAAUUUUGAGAAACUAAAAAUCAGGAUUACAUUGGUAUAGACAAUGAUAAGGAGUAUCAUAGUUUAGCAAUGGAGUAGGUAGACAAUUAAUGAGACAGACAGAAGUUAGAAAUGCAUCAACCCAAAAUUUGUUUGAUAAACCAAAUUGUGCAAGCAAUGUUAAUCCUGUGUCAACAAUUUGUCUAUGUUUGCGUUCAGAGAUUCCAUUUUGUUGAGAUGUAUGGAGACAGGUGAGACAAUGUUCAAUGACAUGUUGAUGGUAAGGAGAGAGAUAAAUAUUCACUACCAAUGUUGCUUUGAAAUUAUUUGAUCAUACUAGAAAAUAAAUUUUCAACAAGAUGCUUAAAUUUAACAGAGCAAGAAAAGACAUUUGAUUUCAUAGAAAUGGAAGACAUCCAGCAAUAAUGACUAUGGUAAUCGAUAAAAAUUACAUAGAAUUUAGAUCCUCCUAAUGAAGAUACUAGAGUUGCCCAAACAUCAGAGUGAAUAAUUUCUAAAGGCCAUGUCAAAAUUCUGGUGGAGACUGAAAAAGGUUGUUGCUUGCAUUUUCCUAGUUGGCAAGGUUCACAAACGAUAGUGGAUACCGGGGAACCAUGAAGGGGAAGAUGACUGUUCUAGAUGAUACGACGAACUAUUGGAAAGGAUGCAUAUGCAAGUCUUAUAUGCCAUAGCUCGAACAACAAGUAAUGCGACGACACGAUUUUUAGUUUAAUUUGAGAGAAGAAUAGCUAAGAUUCAAAGGGUGGAGUCCAUUGACACUUUCGCCCUACAACAAUAUUGUGUUCAUUUGCAAGUCCUUAACAUAAUAUCCGUCGGCAGCAACUUCAAACAUAACUUUGUUAUCGGUACAUAAUUUAUUUAUGGAAAUAAUAGUGGUAGAAACAAUGGGACAAAAAGCAAUGUCUUUUAAGGUAAAAGCAGGAGAAAGAGUGAUAAAUUUAGGAGAUCCAAUUUUGAAAAUAGGAAUGGAGGAACUUGUACCUACUCUACCAAUUGGUGUGAGGAUGCCCAAGAUUGUAAACUUUAGGUGUUACAUGCGUGUUAGAUCCGCUAUCCAAUAUCCAUUGAACAUCAAGAGCAGAGUCAUAUUUCUGAACCACAAAUGCAGCAAGCUCAGCAGGAAAAUACGGCCUUUGGAAUGCAUAAUCGAAGCUCUUAAAGCAAGCAAGAGCUUUAUGAUUGAAUUUGCCGCAUAUCUAACAAGCACAGUCGAACAAGAGCGACACGAUUGUGUUGGGGCUGCCUUGGGAAUAAAAUUCUUAAUGGACCUGGAACCAGUAGAUUAGGGAGAUUUGGAAGCUGAAGGCGUAAGAAAUCGAG
rnacentral:lncRNA from 1 species